GUAUGAGAAGAACAAGAGUCCUGCAAAGCAACUCCACAAGUUCAAUUACAUACCCUGCUCAUGAGAUGGGAUCCAGAGUAAAAUCCAGUGUGUUCCACUAAGUUUGCAUCAGGAGCAGCAGGAACACAAGGCGGGCAACACAGUAAACAACAACCACUUCAUUUGUAUCUAAUAAAGUAAACAAUCAUCAGUGUGAACAUGCAUGGAACCAGAUUUGGAAGCCAUCGGCAGGAUUACAGCCACAUGCGCACCCAACACCAGGCAGCUGUUCAGAAGGGGAGAGAGAAUGCUGGUGUUCAACCGAUGGACGGAAGACAUAAAACUGAUGAACUGUCAGAAGCCAGUCAUAAUUUUUUUGGAUUAGC
ensembl:lncRNA